GUGGCUAACCAGAUGGUCGCUGUGCUAUUAUAAUGAUAGCAGAGAGGAAAGUCCGAGCCUUUAAAGGAAGUAAUGCCGGUUAACUGCCGGUGGAGGCAACUCCAAGGAAAGUGCAACAGAAAAUAACUACCAUGUAUUCAUGGAAAAGGUGAAAAGGUGGGGUAAGAGCCCACCGCAAAUCGGGAGACCGAUUUGGUCAAUGCAAACCCCAUUUAAGGCAAGAUUAAGUUAUCACAAAUGCGUGUCCUUUCGCGUGAUACAAAAAUAUCGCUCGAUCUUGUUAGAAAUAACAAGGCUAGAUAGAUGACCAUUUAAUACAGAACUCGGCUUAUAGAUUAACCACAAAC
rnacentral:RNase_P_RNA from 1 species